UACGUAGGGGGCUAGCGUUGUUCGGAAUUACUGGGCGUAAAGGGCUCGUAGGUGGCCAACUAAGUCAGACGUGAAAUCCCUCGGCUUAACCGGGGAACUGCGUCUGAUACUGGAUGGCUUGAGUUUGGGAGAGGGAUGCGGAAUUCCAGGUGUAGCGGUGAAAUGCGUAGAUAUCUGGAGGAACACCGGUGGCGAAGGCGGCAUCCUGGACCAAUACUGACGCUGAGGAGCGAAAGCCAGGGGAGCAAACAGG
rnacentral:rRNA from 1 species